GGUCUUGUAGCUCAGUUGGUAGAGUUUGCGCUGUGCAAAAGCGUAGAUGGCGGCCACGCGUGGGUCCGAUUCCCACCGAGGCCA
rnacentral:tRNA from 1 species